UUAAGGGCGCACGGUGGAUGCCUUGGCACUAGAAGCCGAUGAAGGACGUUACUAACGACGAUAUGCUUUGGGGAGCUGUAAGUAAGCUUUGAUCCAGAGAUUUCCGAAUGGGGAAACCCAGCAUGAGUUAUGUCAUGUUAUCGAUAUGUGAAUACAUAGCAUAUCAGAAGGCACACCCGGAGAACUGAAACAUCUUAGUACCCGGAGGAAGAGAAAGAAAAUUCGAUUCCCUUAGUAGCGGCGAGCGAAACGGGAAGAGCCCAAACCAACAAGCUUGCUUGUUGGGGUUGUAGGACACUCUAUACGGAGUUACAAAGGACGACAUUAGACGAAUCAUCUGGAAAGAUGAAUCAAAGAAGGUAAUAAUCCUGUAGUCGAAAAUGUUGUCUCUCUUGAGUGGAUCCUGAGUACGACGGAGCACGUGAAAUUCCGUCGGAAUCUGGGAGGACCAUCUCCUAAGGCUAAAUACUCUCUAGUGACCGAUAGUGAACCAGUACCGUGAGGGAAAGGUGAAAAGCACCCCGGAAGGGGAGUGAAAUAGAACCUGAAACCGUGUGCUUACAAGUAGUCAGAGCCCGUUAAUGGGUGAUGGCGUGCCUUUUGUAGAAUGAACCGGCGAGUUACGAUUUGAUGCAAGGUUAAGCAGUAAAUGUGGAGCCGUAGCGAAAGCGAGUCUGAAUAGGGCGUUUAGUAUUUGGUCGUAGACCCGAAACCAGGUGAUCUACCCUUGGUCAGGUUGAAGUUCAGGUAACACUGAAUGGAGGACCGAACCGACUUACGUUGAAAAGUGAGCGGAUGAACUGAGGGUAGCGGAGAAAUUCCAAUCGAACCUGGAGAUAGCUGGUUCUCUCCGAAAUAGCUUUAGGGCUAGCCUCAAGUGAUGAUUAUUGGAGGUAGAGCACUGUUUGGACGAGGGGCCCCUCUCGGGUUACCGAAUUCAGACAAACUCCGAAUGCCAAUUAAUUUAACUUGGGAGUCAGAACAUGGGUGAUAAGGUCCGUGUUCGAAAGGGAAACAGCCCAGACCACCAGCUAAGGUCCCAAAAUAUAUGUUAAGUGGAAAAGGAUGUGGCGUUGCCCAGACAACUAGGAUGUUGGCUUAGAAGCAGCCAUCAUUUAAAGAGUGCGUAAUAGCUCACUAGUCGAGUGACACUGCGCCGAAAAUGUACCGGGGCUAAACAUAUUACCGAAGCUGUGGAUUGUCCUUUGGACAAUGGUAGGAGAGCGUUCUAAGGGCGUUGAAGCAUGAUCGUAAGGACAUGUGGAGCGCUUAGAAGUGAGAAUGCCGGUGUGAGUAGCGAAAGACGGGUGAGAAUCCCGUCCACCGAUUGACUAAGGUUUCCAGAGGAAGGCUCGUCCGCUCUGGGUUAGUCGGGUCCUAAGCUGAGGCCGACAGGCGUAGGCGAUGGAUAACAGGUUGAUAUUCCUGUACCACCUAUAAUCGUUUUAAUCGAUGGGGGGACGCAGUAGGAUAGGCGAAGCGUGCGAUUGGAUUGCACGUCUAAGCAGUAAGGCUGAGUAUUAGGCAAAUCCGGUACUCGUUAAGGCUGAGCUGUGAUGGGGAGAAGACAUUGUGUCUUCGAGUCGUUGAUUUCACACUGCCGAGAAAAGCCUCUAGAUAGAAAAUAGGUGCCCGUACCGCAAACCGACACAGGUAGUCAAGAUGAGAAUUCUAAGGUGAGCGAGCGAACUCUCGUUAAGGAACUCGGCAAAAUGACCCCGUAACUUCGGGAGAAGGGGUGCUCUUUAGGGUUAACGCCCAGAAGAGCCGCAGUGAAUAGGCCCAAGCGACUGUUUAUCAAAAACACAGGUCUCUGCUAAACCGUAAGGUGAUGUAUAGGGGCUGACGCCUGCCCGGUGCUGGAAGGUUAAGAGGAGUGGUUAGCUUCUGCGAAGCUACGAAUCGAAGCCCCAGUAAACGGCGGCCGUAACUAUAACGGUCCUAAGGUAGCGAAAUUCCUUGUCGGGUAAGUUCCGACCCGCACGAAAGGCGUAACGAUUUGGGCACUGUCUCAACGAGAGACUCGGUGAAAUCAUAGUACCUGUGAAGAUGCAGGUUACCCGCGACAGGACGGAAAGACCCCGUGGAGCUUUACUGUAGCCUGAUAUUGAAAUUCGGCACAGCUUGUACAGGAUAGGUAGGAGCCUUUGAAACGUGAGCGCUAGCUUACGUGGAGGCGCUGGUGGGAUACUACCCUAGCUGUGUUGGCUUUCUAACCCGCACCACUUAUCGUGGUGGGAGACAGUGUCAAGCGGGCAGUUUGACUGGGGCGGUCGCCUCCUAAAAGGUAACGGAGGCGCUCAAAGGUUCCCUCAGAAUGGUUGGAAAUCAUUCAUAGAGUGUAAAGGCAUAAGGGAGCUUGACUGCGAGACCUACAAGUCGAGCAGGGUCGAAAGACGGACUUAGUGAUCCGGUGGUUCCGCAUGGAAGGGCCAUCGCUCAACGGAUAAAAGCUACCCCGGGGAUAACAGGCUUAUCUCCCCCAAGAGUUCACAUCGACGGGGAGGUUUGGCACCUCGAUGUCGGCUCAUCGCAUCCUGGGGCUGUAGUCGGUCCCAAGGGUUGGGCUGUUCGCCCAUUAAAGCGGUACGCGAGCUGGGUUCAGAACGUCGUGAGACAGUUCGGUCCCUAUCCGUCGUGGGCGUAGGAAAUUUGAGAGGAGCUGUCCUUAGUACGAGAGGACCGGGAUGGACAUACCUCUGGUGUACCAGUUGUCGUGCCAACGGCAUAGCUGGGUAGCUAUGUGUGGACGGGAUAAGUGCUGAAAGCAUCUAAGCAUGAAGCCCCCCUCAAGAUGAGAUUUCCCAACUUCGGUUAUAAGAUCCCUCAAAGAUGAUGAGGUUAAUAGGUUCGAGGUGGAAGCAUGGUGACAUGUGGAGCUGACGAAUACUAAUCGAUCGAAGACUUAAUC
rnacentral:rRNA from 1 species